GACGAACGCUGGCGGCGUGCCUAAUACAUGCAAGUAGAACGCACAGUUUAUACCGUAGCUUGCUACACCAUAGACUGUGAGUUGCGAACGGGUGAGUAACGCGUAGGUAACCUGCCUGGUAGCGGGGGAUACUAUUGGAAACGAUAGCUAAUACCGCAUAAUAUUAAUUAUUGCAUGAUAAUUAAUUGAAAGGUGCAAUUGCACCACUACCAGAUGGACCUGCGUUGUAUUAGCUAGUAGGGGAGGUAACGGCUCACCUAGGCGACGAUACAUAGCCGACCUGAGAGGGUGAUCGGCCACACUGGGACUGAGACACGGCCCAGACUCCUACGGGAGGCAGCAGUAGGGAAUCUUCGGCAAUGGACGAAAGUCUGACCGAGCAACGCCGCGUGAGUGAAGAAGGUUUUCGGAUCGUAAAGCUCUGUUGUAAGAGAAGAACGGGUGUGAGAGUGGAAAGUUCACACUGUGACGGUAUCUUACCAGAAAGGGACGGCUAACUACGUG
rnacentral:rRNA from 1 species